GAUGAACGCUAGCGGCAGGCUUAACACAUGCAAGUCGAGGGGUAACAUAGGAGUGCUUGCACUCUUGAUGACGACCGGCGGACGGGUGAGUAACGCGUAUAUAACCUACCUUUUAGCGGGGAUAGCCCAGGGAAACUUGGAUUAAUAUCCCACGGUAUGUAAGAUCCACCUGGAUUUUACAUUAAACAUUUAUGGCUAUUAGAUGGGUAUGCGUCCUAUUAGUUAGAUGGUAAGGUAACGGCUUACCAUGGCAGCGAUAGGUAGGGGUCCUGAGAGGGAGAUCCCCCACACUGGUACUGAGACACGGACCAGACUCCUACGGGAGGCAGCAGUGAGGAAUAUUGGACAAUGGAGGCAACUCUGAUCCAGCCAUGCCGCGUGCAGGAAGACUGCCCUAUGGGUUGUAAACUGCUUUUACAGAGGAAGAACCACUCCCACGUGUGGGAGUUUGACGGUACUCUGCGAAUAAGGAUCGGCUAACUCCGUGCCAGCAGCCGCGGUAAUACGGAGGAUCCAAGCGUUAUCCGGAAUCAUUGGGUUUAAAGGGUCCGUAGGCGGGAUAAUAAGUCAGUGGUGAAAGUCUGCAGCUUAACUGUAGAAUUGCCAUUGAAACUGUUGUUCUUGAGUUAUUAUGAAGUGGUUAGAAUGAGUAGUGUAGCGGUGAAAUGCAUAGAUAUUACUCAGAAUACCGAUUGCGAAGGCAGAUCACUAAUAAUACACUGACGCUGAUGGACGAAAGCGUGGGUAGCGAACAGG
rnacentral:rRNA from 1 species